GAUGAACGCUGGCGGCGUGCCUAAUACAUGCAAGUCGAGCGAACGGACGAGGAGCUUGCUCUUCUGACGUUAGCGGCGGACGGGUGAGUAACACGUGGAUAACCUACCUAUAAGACUGGGAUAACUUCGGGAAACCGGAGCUAAUACCGGAUAAUAUUUUGAACCGCAUGGUUCAAUAGUGAAAGACGGUCUUGCUGUCACUUAUAGAUGGAUCCGCGCUGCAUUAGCUAGUUGGUAAGGUAACGGCUUACCAAGGCAACGAUGCAUAGCCGACCUGAGAGGGUGAUCGGCCACACUGGAACUGAGACACGGUCCAGACUCCUACGGGAGGCAGCAGUAGGGAAUCUUCCGCAAUGGGCGAAAGCCUGACGGAGCAACGCCGCGUGAGUGAUGAAGGUCUUCGGAUCGUAAAACUCUGUUAUUAGGGAAGAACAUAUGUGUAAGUAACUGUGCACAUCUUGACGGUACCUAAUCAGAAAGCCACGGCUAACUACGUG
rnacentral:rRNA from 1 species